UAUCCUGGCUCAGAUUGAACGCUGGCGGCAUGCUUUACACAUGCAAGUCGGACGGCAGCACAGAGAAGCUUGCUUCUUGGGUGGCGAGUGGCGAACGGGUGAGUAACAUAUCGGAACGUACCGGGCAGUGGGGGAUAACUAAUCGAAAGAUUAGCUAAUACCGCAUAUUUUCUGAGGAAGAAAGCAGGGGACCAUUUGGCCUUGCGCUGUUUGAGCGGCCGAUAUCUGAUUAGCUAGUUGGUGGGGUAAAGGCCUACCAAGGCGACGAUCAGUAGCGGGUCUGAGAGGAUGAUCCGCCACACUGGGACUGAGACACGGCCCAGACUCCUACGGGAGGCAGCAGUGGGGAAUUUUGGACAAUGGGCGCAAGCCUGAUCCAGCCAUGCCGCGUGUCUGAAGAAGGCCUUCGGGUUGUAAAGGACUUUUGUCAGGGAAGAAAAGGGCGGGGUUAAUACCCCUGUCUGAUGACGGUACCUGAAGAAUAAGCACCGGCUAACUACGUG
rnacentral:rRNA from 1 species